AGCGAACGCUGGCGGCAUGCUUAACACAUGCAAGUCGCACGGUCGGCUUCGGUCGGCAGUGGCGGACGGGUGAGGAACGCGUAGGAACAUGUCCAUGGGUGGGGGAUAACCCUGGGAAACUGGGGCUAAUACCGCAUGUGUCCUGAGGGACAAAGCCGUGAGGCGCCUGUGGAGUGGCCUGCGUCCGAGUAGCUAGUUGGUGGGGUAACGGCUUACCAAGGCGUCGAUCGGUAGCUGGUCUGAGAGGACGACCAGCCACACUGGGACUGAGACACGGCCCAGACUCCUACGGAAGGCAGCAGUGGGGAAUAUUGGACAAUGGGCGCAAGCCUGAUCCAGCAAUGCCGCGUGGGUGAAGAAGGUCUUCGGAUUGUAAAGCCCUUUCGGCGGGGACGAUGAUGACGGUACCUGCAGAAGAAGCCCCGGCUAACUUCGUGCCAGCCGCCGCAGUAAAAC
rnacentral:rRNA from 1 species